rnacentral:rRNA from 1 species
CAAUAGCGUAUAUUUAAGUUGUUGCAGUUAAAAAGCUCGUAGUUGGAUUUCGGGCGGGUGACGGCGGUCCGCCUCUGGCGUGCACUGCCGGCAUCCGCCUUUCUGUCGGGGACGGGCUCCUGGGCUUCAUUGCUUGGGACUCGGGUUCGACGUGGUUACUUUGAGUAAAUUAGAGUGUUCAAAGCAGGCGAUCGCCCUGAAUACAUUAGCAUGGAAUAGCACGAUAGGACUCUGGCCUAUUUUGCUGGUCUGUAGGACCGGAGUAAUGAUUAAGAGGGACAGUCGGGGGCAUUCGUAUUUCAUUGUCAGAGGUGAAAUUCUUGGAUUUAUGAAAGACGAACUUCUGCGAAAGCAUUUGCCAAGGAUGUUUUCAUUGA